CGGCCACACAGAGGUCGUCAGGUUUCUCGUAAGGCACCGCUGCCAGUUGGAUGCUGCUGACAAUCUCAGGAGAACACCCCUGAUGAUGGCAGUACAGUUUCAUCAAGAAGACUGUGUGGCUUUCCUGCUAGAGCACGGUGCCGACCCAAAUCUCACC